rnacentral:rRNA from 1 species
GAUCAACGCUGGCGGCGUGCCUAAUACAUGCAAGUCGAGCGAACGGACGAGAAGCUUGCUUCUCUGAUGUUAGCGGCGGACGGGUGAGUAACACGUGGAUAACCUACCUAUAAGACUGGGAUCACUUCGGGAAACCGGAGCUAAUACCGGAUAAUAUUUUGAACCGCAUGGUUCAAUAGUGAAAGACGGUCUUGCUGUCACUUAUAGAUGGAUCCGCGCUGCAUUAGCUAGUUGGUAAGGUAACGGCUUACCAAGGCAACGAUGCAUAGCCGACCUGAGAGGGCGAUCGGCCACACUGGAACUGAGACACGGUCCAGACUCCUACGGGAGGCAGCAGUAGGGAAUCUUCGGCAAUGGGCGAAAGCCUGACGGAGCAACGCCGCGUGAGUGAUGAAGGUCUUCGGAUCGUAAAACUCUGUUAUUAGGGAAGAACAUAUGUGUAAGUAACUGUGCACAUCUUGACGGUACCUAAUCAGAAAGCCCCGGCUAACUACGUG